rfam:Strongylocentrotus purpuratus Contig27250_fixed, whole genome shotgun sequence.
GGUGUGUUGGCUUAGUCAGUGGAGCGUCCGUCUCACAACCGGGAGAUCGUGGGUUUGAACCCCGGACGCGUCA